UUGUUUUGUGACUGAGUGGCGGACGGGUGAGUAACGCGUGGGUAACCUGCCUCAUACAGGGGGAUAACAGUUGGAAACGACUGCUAAUACCGCAUAAGCGCACAGGGUCGCAUGACCUGGUGUGAAAAACUCCGGUGGUAUGAGAUGGACCCGCGUCUGAUUAGCCAGUUGGUGGGGUAACGGCCUACCAAAGCGACGAUCAGUAGCCGACCUGAGAGGGUGACCGGCCACAUUGGGACUGAGACACGGCCCAAACUCCUACGGGAGGCAGCAGUGGGGAAUAUUGCACAAUGGGGGAAACCCUGAUGCAGCGACGCCGCGUGAGCGAAGAAGUAUUUCGGUAUGUAAAGCUCUAUCAGCAGGGAAGAAGAAAUGACGGUACCUGACUAAGAAGCACCGGCUAAAUACGUGCCAGCAGCCGCGGUAAUACGUAUGGUGCAAGCGUUAUCCGGAUUUACUGGGUGUAAAGGGAGCGCAGGCGGUACGGCAAGUCUGAUGUGAAAGCCCGGGGCUCAACCCCGGUACUGCAUUGGAAACUGUCGGACUAGAGUGUCGGAGGGGUAAGUGGAAUUCCUAGUGUAGCGGUGAAAUGCGUAGAUAUUAGGAGGAACACCAGUGGCGAAGGCGGCUUACUGGAC
rnacentral:rRNA from 1 species